rnacentral:rRNA from 1 species
AUUGAACGCUGGCGGCAUGCCUUACACAUGCAAGUCGAACGGCAGCACGGGGCAACCUGGUGGCGAGUGGCGAACGGGUGAGUAAUGCAUCGGAACGUACCUUUCAGUGGGGGAUAACGUAGCGAAAGUUACGCUAAUACCGCAUAUUCUGUGAGCAGGAAAGCAGGGGAUCGCAAGACCCUGCGCUGAUUGAGCGGCCGAUGUCAGAUUAGCUAGUUGGUGAGGUAAAGGCUCACCAAGGCGACGAUCUGUAGCGGGUCUGAGAGGAUGAUCCGCCACACUGGGACUGAGACACGGUCCAGACUCCUACGGGAGGCAGCAGUGGGGAAUUUUAGACAAUGGGGGCAACCCUGAUCCAGCCAUACCGCGUGAGGGAAGAAGGCCUUCGGGUUGUAAAGCUCUUUCGGCCGGGAAGAAAUCGCACGGGCUAAUACCCUGUGUGGAUGACGGUACCGGAAUAAGAAGCACCGGCUAACUACGUGCCAGCAGCCGCAGUAAUAC